UACGGGGGGGGCAAGCGUUGUUCGGAAUUACUGGGCGUAAAGGGCGCGUAGGCGGUCCGCUAAGUUAGAUGUGAAAACUCUGGGCUUAACCCAGAGCCUGCAUCUAAUACUGACGGGCUAGAGUUCUGGAGGGGGUAGCGGAAUUCCUGGUGUAGCGGCGAAAUGCGUAGAUAUCAGGAGGAACACCGGUGGCGAAGGCGGCUACCUGGACAGAAACUGACGCUGAGGCGCGAAAGCUAGGGGAGCAAACAGG
rnacentral:rRNA from 1 species